UACGGGGGGGGCAAGCGUUGUUCGGAAUUACUGGGCGUAAAGGGCUCGUAGGUGGCCAACUAAGUCGGACGUGAAAUCCCUCGGCUUAACCGGGGAACUGCGUCUGAUACUGGAUGGCUUGAAUCCGGGAGAGGGAUGCGGAAUUCCAGGUGUAGCGGUGAAAUGCGUAGAUAUCUGGAGGAACACCGGUGGCGAAGGCGGCAUCCUGGACCGGCAUUGACGCUGAGGAGCGAAAGCCAGGGGAGCAAACGGG
rnacentral:rRNA from 1 species